rnacentral:rRNA from 1 species
UGCGUAGGCGGAACUUUAAGUCAGUGGUGAAAUCCUGCGGCUCAACCGUAGAACUGCCAUUGUUACUGAUGUUCUUGAAUGCAGUUGAGGUAGGCGGAAUGUGUAAUGUAGCGGUGAAAUGCUUAGAUAUUACACAGAACACCGAUUGCGAAGGCAGCUUGCUAAACUGUAAUUGACGCUGAUGCACGAAAGCGUGGGGAGCGAACAGGAUUAGAUACCCUGGUAGUCC